rnacentral:rRNA from 1 species
AGAGUUUGAUCCUGGCUCAGAUUGAACGCUGGCGGCAUGCCUAACACAUGCAAGUCGAACGUGAAAGAGGGGCAACUCUCGAGUAAAGUGGCGGACGGGUGAGUAAUACGUAGGAAUCUACCCUAGAGAGGGGGAUAACCUGCCGAAAGGCGGGCUAAUACCGCAUAAUCUCUAUGGAGCAAAGGUGUCCAGCCUCUAAAUUUUUUUGAAAAGAGGAAUUUAGUGGCUGGAUUUCGUUCUAGGAUGAGCCUACGUCGGAUUAGCUAGUUGGUAGAGUAAUAGCCUACCAAGGCGACGAUCCGUAGCUGGUCUGAGAGGACGAUCAGCCACACUGGAACUGAGACACGGUCCAGACUCCUACGGGAGGCAGCAGUGGGGAAUAUUGGACAAUGGGGGAAACCCUGAUCCAGCAAUGCCGCGUGUGUGAUGAAGGCCUGCGGGUUGUAAAGCACUUUCGGUGGGGAAGAAAUGCUCAAAUAUAAUACAUUUGAGAGCUGACGUUACCCACAGAAGAAGCACCGGCAAACUCUGUGCCAGCAGCCGCGGUAAUACAGAGGGUGCAAGCGUUAGUCGGAGUUACUGGGCGUAAAGGGCGUGUAGGCUGAUAUCUUAGUCGGUUGUGAAAUCCCUGGGCUUAACCUAGGAAUUGCAGUCGAUACUGGGUAUCUUGAGUAUGGUAGAGGAAAGCGGAAUUCUCGGUGUAGUGGUUAAAUACGUAGAUAUCGAGAAGAACAUCGGUGGCGAAGGCGGCUUUCUGGACCAAUACUGACGCUGAGGCGCGAAAGCGUGGGGAGCAAACAGGAUUAGAUACCCUGGUAGUCCACGCUGUAAACGAUGAGAACUAGAUGUUGGCCCGCUUUGCGGGGCAGUAUCGCAGCUAACGCGUUAAGUUCUCCGCCUGGGGAGUACGGUCGCAAGAUUAAAACUCAAAGGAAUUGACGGGGGCCCGCACAAGCGGUGGAACAUGUGGUUCAAUUCGAUGCAACGCGAAGAACCUUACCUACCCUUGAAAUCCUAGGAAUUUUCUAGAGAUAGAAAAGUGCCUUCGGGAACCUAGAGACAGGUGCUGCAUGGCUGUCGUCAGCUCGUGUCGUGAGAUGUCGGGUUAAGUCCCUUAACGAGCGCAACCCUUAUCUUUAGUUGCCAUCAGGUUAUGCUGGGAACUCUAAAGAAACUGCCUGCGUUAAGAAGGAGGAAGGCGAGGACGACGUCAAGUCAUCAUGGCCCUUAUGGGUAGGGCAACACACGUGUUACAAUGGGGAGUACAAAGGGUUGCCAAGCCGUGAGGCGGAGCUAAUCUCAAAAAACUUCUCGUAGUCCGGAUUGAAGUCUGCAACUCGACUUCAUGAAGCUGGAAUCGCUAGCAAUCGCGAAUCAGAACGUCGCGGUGAAUACGUUCUCGGGCCUUGUACACACCGCCCGUCAAACCAUGGGAGUGGAUUGUACCAGAAGCGGGUAACCUAACCGUAAGGAGGGCGCCCACCACGGUAUGUUUCAUGACUGGGGUUAAGUCGUAACAAGGUA